AGCGGCGUACGGGUGCGGAACACGUGUGCACUGCUUUAUCUGGGGGAUAGCCUUUCGAAAGGAAGAUUAAUACCCCAUAAUAUGUUGAAUGGCAUCAUUCGACAUUGAAAACUCCGGUGGAUAGAGAUGGGCACGCGCAAGAUUAGAUAGUUGGUGAGGUAACGGCUCACCAAGUCUACGAUCUUUAGGAGGCCUGAGAGGGUGAUCCCCCACACUGGUACUGAGACACGGACCAGACUCCUACGGGAGGCAGCAGUGAGGAAUAUUGGACAAUGGGUGAGAGCCUGAUCCAGCCAUCCCGCGUGAAGGACGACUGCCCUAUGGGUUGUAAACUUCUUUUGUAUAGGGAUAAACCUACCCUCGUGAGGGUAGCUGAAGGUACUAUACGAAUAAGCACCGGCUAACCCCGUGCCAGCAGCCGCGGUAAUAUGGAGGGUGCAAGCGUUAUCCGGAUUUAUUGGGUUUAAAGGGUUCGUAAGGCGGAAUCUGUAAAGUCAGUGGGUUGGAAAUUCUCCACAGGUUUUAAUUGUGGAAAUUGGCAUUGGAUUANUUGGGAGGGGUCNUUGGAGUNGUUGGUUGAAAGUUAAGUUUGGAAAUUAA
rnacentral:rRNA from 1 species